CGGGCAUUCGCGUUCAUUUCCAUAAGAAAGCUGCGAUCCCCGUUGGAGGCCGGAUUUCUUGGGCCCCUCUGCCCUUCCCCCACAGCCGGGUUUCUGUAAGCAGCGGGCCGGGGAGCGCAGAGGUCCAAGUGCGUGCUGUGCUUGUUGAUGGUGUUGAUAAAAUGUGCUUUGAAAGGUUGUCCUGGUUGAGGCCAGUUUCCUGUCUGUGCGUGGAGUGGAAGGAGCGCGCCGGGUGAGUCCAGAGCUCCGGGGAGCGGGCAGGGAAAGAGUGUGUAAAGUUCCAGCCGACUACACGGGCUUAACCUUCUGCUGAGAGACCAUCCUGGAAGAUUGGAAACUCUUCAUCAAAACAUCUCUUGUCUUUUUUAAUGUAAUUAAACAAAAUUAUUUAAGAAAUGUUUCGGCUUCCCUCCCAGUGUAUGCCCCAUUACUUUGUAGCUACAAUAAUGAAACAUGAACAGUGGUGGUCAUUCUUUUCUCUUUUGUAAGAGUGUCCAGUAAUAGGGACUUACAAAGCCCCAGACACAGCUCAGGUAUGCCCCUGGCUUUUUGUUUUCUCCCCUCUUACUGAGCCACAAUGCAAAUUCACACUUGAUCUUGCUUCCCUCUGGCCAACUCUUCCCCUAAGCAAAACCUCUCUGCCAACUUCCAGGAGAAGGGGAUUUACUUAGAAGAACACUGAACUUCCCAAGUUCAAAUGAGACCAGGAUCAGGUGCUCCAGGUAGGCAAUUCCGACUCUCCUGGUAGCUAGGAGAUCAAACCCUUGUAGCAAACAGAAAUUCUAACCAACAUGUUCCAGACAAUGCUAAAUUGAUGGCAACCUGGGAUGUUUUACAUAUAUAAUUUUCCUGUAUUCUCUAUCAGCUCUGUUACUUGAAUUCAAGUUUUGUUCACAUUUGGGUACACAGAAACCAGCUAGGUUUACAUUUCCAGCACAUUUCUAUUGGGCAACUGGUGACACUACCCAUAACACACUUCUUUUCUGAAAACUCAAAAAAAAAAAAAAAAAAGCAAAAAUCUCUUCCACUUAGAAAGGUUGUUUAAUAGUAUUUAACACUCUAUAGAAAACCCUUUUUUUUCCUCCCUCAAAAAAUAAGCAAACUAACUGUUCUUUUUCUCCUUUCACACACGCCAGCUAUUUUCUCAAAGCAAAAAAAGUUCUGUUUCCGAAGGGAGAGAAACAUACAAAUUCCAUUAAUGAAUUACAUACAUGGAAUGUGGCUUGUCUGGAGCAAUUGUAUUUGUAAAUAAAUGGCUUCCUGUUUA